rnacentral:rRNA from 1 species
AACCUUACCUGGUCUUGACAUCCACAGAACUUUCCAGAGAUGGAUUGGUGCCUUCGGGAACUGUGAGACAGGUGCUGCAUGGCUGUCGUCAGCUCGUGUUGUGAAAUGUUGGGUUAAGUCCCGCAACGAGCGCAACCCUUAUCCUUUGUUGCCAGCGGUUCGGCCGGGAACUCAAAGGAGACUGCCAGUGAUAAACUGGAGGAAGGUGGGGAUGACGUCAAGUCAUCAUGGCCCUUACGACCAGGGCUACACACGUGCUACAAUGGCGCAUACAAAGAGAAGCGACCUCGCGAGAGCAAGCGGACCUCAUAAAGUGCGUCGUAGUCCGGAUUGGAGUCUGCAACUCGACUCCAUGAAGUCGGAAUCGCUAGUAAUCGUAGAUCAGAAUGCUACGGUGAAUACGUUCCCGGGCCUUGUACACACCGCCCGUCACACCAUGGGAGUGGGUUGCAAAAGAAGUAGGUAGCUUAACCUUCGGGAGGGCGCUUACCACUUUGUGAUUCAUGACUGGGGUGAAGUCGUAA